CAGUCGCCGCGGGAAUACGAAGGGUGCAAGCGUUAAUCGGAAUUACUGGGCGUAAAGGGUGCGUAGGCGGUUAGUUAAGUCUGUCGUGAAAUCCCCGGGCUCAACCUGGGAAUGGCGAUGGAUACUGGCUGGCUAGAGUGUGUCAGAGGAUGGUGGAAUUUCCGGUGUAGCGGUGAAAUGCGUAGAGAUCGGAAGGAACAUCAGUGGCGAAGGCGGCCAUCUGGGACAACACUGACGCUGAAGCACGAAAGCGUGGGGAGCGAACAGGAUUAGAUACCCGCGUAGUCCCUGUCUCUUAUAC
rnacentral:rRNA from 1 species